CUGAGACACGGCCCAGACUCCUACGGGAGGCAGCAGUAGGGAAUCUUCCGCAAUGGACGAAAGUCUGACGGAGCAACGCCGCGUGAGUGAUGAAGGUUUUCGGAUCGUAAAACUCUGUUGUUAGGGAAGAACAAGUACAAGAGUAACUGCUUGUACCUUGACGGUACCUAACCAGAAAGCCACGGCUAACUACGUGCCAGCAGCCGCGGUAAUACGUAGGUGGCAAGCGUUGUCCGGAAUUAUUGGGCGUAAAGCGCGCGCAGGCGGUCCUUUAAGUCUGAUGUGAAAGCCCACGGCUCAACCGUGGAGGGUCAUUGGAAACUGGGGGACUUGAGUGCAGAAGAGAGAAUAGUGGAAUUCCACGUGUAGCG
rnacentral:rRNA from 2 species